UUAAACAUAUUCAAAGCAUAAUAUAAAAAAAACUUGAAUGAGAAAUUUGAAGAACUAUGGUCACAAUUAGAGAAUACUUUCAGAUACAUCAUAGAUACUGUUGUUACUCUGACACCUGGUGCUAAUUUCCCUAAUUAUCUGACAAGCCCUAUAUAUUUGGCAGCACUGCUAAUUACUUUGCAAGAUGGCGAGCCAAUCAAAGGUGACUGAAACCCUGUGACAGCAGGUUGUCCAAAUGAAGGCAAAAUGUCUAACCAUUCCAGCCAUUGCAAGAGAAGCUGUUGUUCCAAGUCUGUGAUUUCUAGAAUAUUUCAGCUUUACAAUGACACCAAUUAUUGAAAAUUGUAACCCUCCAAAAAUUUUAGUUGUAAUCUUAUUUUCUACUACAAUGGAUACUGUUGUCUAUUUUGUCGGGAACGCACUGAUCAAAAUCAAAGAUUUUUGUUGAAGUGCCUUGAUUAUUUUGUAAGUAGUACAACAGUGAUAAUAUCCACAGUUACUAAUCCUUCAAAUUUUGAAUAAUGAAGAUUAACAAUAUUUAAAAAAAAAUAAGUGUUCAUAAAUGUUCUCUAAUUUUGAUCCCCAAUUUGUGUGUACAUGUAAUAUUUAAAACAAUGAGGUUGAUAUUAAUUACGUUUUAAGUUUCUAAGCAUUGCAAUUUUUUUUUAAUUAAUUCAAGUGUAUAUUCUAAAUAUUUAAGUUAUUCACAUGCAAAAUGCAGUCACACUAAUACUGAUAAACAACACAUGCCUACUUUAAGAAGUUGUGCUUGUACUCUGGUUACAUCAAGAUUUUCUUACUCUACCUAAUUAUCGGCACAUAUUGGAUAUUUACAUUUGUAUGUGUAAGACAUUUGUUUAUUUUUGUUACAGUAACAUGACAAAACAAAUAUCUUCAGGCACAUGGACACUAAUUAAAAACAAGAAUCUUCCACAGCAGUUGGUUGGGUCAGUGGAUUGUGGAGUAUUCAUGUUGAUGUAUGCUCUGCACCUUGUCUUGGAUGCGCCAUUUGACUUCACAGCUGUAAGCUUUCACUUAUGUCUCUGAUUAUUUGUUAAUAUCUGUUACUGGUUUUAAUGUUCUUUGUUUUUUCCCUCUGCAUGGCAGUGUGAUUUACCCUUGAUCAGGAGGUGCUAGUGCUUUAUUCUAUUGGAGAAUUUUGCUGUUGGAAGGUAUCUCUCUCUUUCUCUCUCUCCCCCUCUCUCUCUCUGUGCAGCUAACGUGUGAAUAUUUC